UGGGAUCCACCUUCUCCUGGCUCAGUGUAAUGCCUCAGUGCUGGGGACACUGACCCAGGCAGGACUCCUGGAUAGAGUGACCCCAGAACAGCUGUUUGUGAGUGUCCAGGAUGCAGCUGCAUAUGCCCUGGAGCGACUGGUGAGGCGGCAGUAGCAACGGGAGUGGAAGCCAGGAGGUGCUGGGCUAUGGCAAAGGAGGAGCUCACUGGUCCAAAGACUUGCACAGUGUGGGUCUGACCCGGUCACGUGGAGUGUGGAGGGUCCCAACAGCAUGUGUGUGAGG